UCGGAGCUGCUGGGUGCGUAAGGCCUGUGAACCCCAGGGGCGAUAGUUUAUUCAUAGGGAGCUGUCUCUGACGGGAUUCCGGUCUCGUUAUGCGGCGCCCACCUAUCACAGUGGCCCAAUGGACGGUCACGACAGCCAACGGCUUUGGCGGCUCCACU
rnacentral:other from 1 species